UUAAGGUAAAAAAAAAACCCUCCCCAAAACUCUUUUCUCUCUAGUCUAGGGAAUGGUCCAAAGAUAUACCGAAGUCACAUUUCAAUCUGUGGGGAUAAAAUGAGUCCAAGUGCAUCCAGGUUCCAUCCGGAAACAGCUGCUGGCUUCUUGAAGGGCCCUGUGUUGGAAGUGUAGCAUGACUGUAAAACUGCACAGCAAUUAUCCCAACAGCCUAAAAAAAUGGUUAAAAUGCUGCCAGCAUUGUGAACCGUUAAAAGGUGCCACCGCUGACAACAUCAUCAUAGUCACUCAACCAACCAAAAGCAGCAGCUACUUUGAGUCAGGACUAAAUCUGCUUCGUGAACUAGAAGUCAGUUGAGGACCUGGUCAGCCUUCCUCUCCUAAUAAAAGUCUGGCAGUACUCUUUUCGCCCUGCUGUACCAUGGAUGUCACCCCACCCAGCCUGGUCCAAAAUCCUCCCGUCAGAGUGAAUCAUCUUCCAACAUGAGAAGCUCUCAAAUUUCCAAAGCAUUGGUUCUCAAAAGACCAAUAAUCAUCGACCUCAUAAGAAUUAGGAUGAGCUUUUAUCUACAGUAUUUGGCACUGAUGGUAGGUUGCAGUUUGAUCCUUUGCCAGACAGUGAACCACAUUUGAUCAUCCAAUUACCAGUAGGUGUCAACUAAAACCUCACCAUGACCCAUGAUGAAAUCUUAUUUUUUCAAUUUAGACAAUGAUCACUAUUUGUUUUUAAUCACCGGCAAAAAGUAAUGAAACUGAAAAUACACCAUAUAAAUAUUA